UACGGGGGGGGCAAGCGUUGUUCGGAAUCACUGGGCGUAAAGGGCGCGUAGGCGGCUCGGUCAGCGUGCGGUGAAAGCCCGGGGCUCAACCCCGGGUCGGCCGUGCGAACUGCUGGGCUGGAGCACUGUAGAGGCAGGUGGAAUUCCGGGUGUAGCGGUGGAAUGCGUAGAGAUCCGGAAGAACACCGGUGGCGAAGGCGGCCUGCUGGGCAGUAGCUGACGCUGAUGCGCGACAGCGUGGGGAGCAAACAGG
rnacentral:rRNA from 1 species